AGAACGAACGCUGGCGGCAGGCCUAAUACAUGCAAGUCGAACGCACUCUUCGGAGUGAGUGGCAGACGGGUGAGUAACGCGUGGGAACCUUCCCAAUGGUACGGAAUAACUCCGGGAAACCGGUGCUAAUACCGUAUAAGCCCCUCGGGGGAAAGAUUUAUCGCCAUUGGAUGGGCCCGCGUCGGAUUAGCUAGUUGGUAAGGUAAUGGCUUACCAAGGCUACGAUCCGUAGCUGGUCUGAGAGGAUGAUCAGCCACACUGGGACUGAGACACGGCCCAGACUCCUACGGGAGGCAGCAGUAGGGAAUCUUGGACAAUGGGCGAAAGCCUGAUCCAGCCAUGCCGCGUGAGUGAAGAAGGCCUUAGGGUUGUAAAGCUCUUUCAGUUGGGACGAAGGUGGAGUGGUGAAUAGCCAUUUCACUGACGGUACCUUCAUAAGAAGCCCCGGCUAACUACGUGCCAGCAGCCGC
rnacentral:rRNA from 1 species